GCAAGUUGAACGGUAACAUGCCCUUCGGGGUGAUGACGAGUAGCAAACGGGUGAGUAAUGCUUAGAUAAUCUACCUUAAAGACUGGGAUAGCUACGGGAAACUGUAGGUAAUACCGGAUAAGCUCACGAAUCAUAAGAUUUGGGAGAAAAUGGUGGGGACCCUUCGGGGCCUAUCGCUUUUAGAUGAGUCUAAGUCCUAUCAGCUAGUUGGUGGGGUAAUGGCCUACCAAGGCGAUGAUCUCUAGCUGGUCUGAGAGGAUGAUC
rnacentral:rRNA from 1 species